rnacentral:rRNA from 1 species
AGAGUUUGAUCCUGGCUCAGGAUGAACGCUAGCUACAGGCUUAACACAUGCAAGUUGAGGGGCAGCGGUAUCGAAAGCUUGCUUUCGGUAGCCGGCGACCGGCGCACGGGUGAGUAACGCGUAUCGAACCUGCCUCAUACUCGGGAAUAGCCUUGCGAAAGUAAGAUUAAUGCCCGGUGUUUUCAGAGUCCCGCAUGAGGCUUUGAACAAAGAUUUAUCGGUAUGAGAUGGCGAUGCGUCCCAUUAGCUUGUUGGCGGGGUAACGGCCCACCAAGGCAUCGAUGGGUAGGGGUUCUGAGAGGAAGGUCCCCCACAUUGGAACUGAGACACGGUCCAAACUCCUACGGGAGGCAGCAGUGAGGAAUAUUGGUCAAUGGGCGGAAGCCUGAACCAGCCAGGUAGCGUGCAGGAAGACGGCCCUCCGGGUUGUAAACUGCUUUUAGUUGGGAAUAAAACGGGGCUCGUGAGCCCCCUUGCAUGUACCAUCAGAAACAGGACCGGCUAAUUCCGUGCCAGCAGCCGCGGUAAUACGGAAGGUCCGGGCGUUAUCCGGAUUUAUUGGGUUUAAAGGGAGCGCAGGCGGACCUUUAAGUCAGCUGUGAAAUACGGCGGCUCAACCGUCGAACUGCAGUUGAUACUGGAGGUCUUGAGUGCACACAGGGAUGCUGGAAUUCAUGGUGUAGCGGUGAAAUGCUCAGAUAUCAUGAAGAACUCCGAUCGCGAAGGCAGGCAUCCGGGGUGCAACUGACGCUGAGGCUCGAAAGUGCGGGUAUCAAACAGGAUUAGAUACCCUGGUAGUCCGCACAGUAAACGAUGAAUACUCGCGGUUUGCGAUACAAUGUAAGCCGCCAAGCGAAAGCGUUAAGUAUUCCACCUGGGGAGUACGCCGGCAACGGUGAAACUCAAAUGAAUUGACGG